rnacentral:rRNA from 1 species
CCUACGGGUGGCAGCAGUGAGGAAUAUUGGUCAAUGGGCACGAGCCUGAACCAGCCAAGUAGCGUGAAGGAUGACUGCCCUACGGGUUGUAAACUUCUUUUAUAAAGGAAUAAAGUGAGGCACGUGUGCCUUGUUGUAUGUACUUUAUGAAUAAGGAUCGGCUAACUCCGUGCCAGCAGCCGCGGUAAUACGGAGGAUCCGAGCGUUAUCCGGAGUUAUUGGGUUUAAAGGGAGCGUAGAUGGGUUGUUAAGUCAGUGGUGAAAGUUGGCGGCUCAACCGUAAAAUUGCAAUUGAUACUGGCAGUCUUUCGUACAGUUGCGGUAGGCUGCUUUCGUGUUGUCGCCG